GACGAACGCUGGCGGCGUGCUUAACACAUGCAAGUCGAACGGAAAGGCCCUGCUUUUGUGGGGUGCUCGAGUGGCGAACGGGUGAGUAACACGUGAGUAACCUGCCCUUGACUUUGGGAUAACUUCAGGAAACUGGGGCUAAUACCGGAUAGGAGCUCCUGCUGCAUGGUGGGGGUUGGAAAGUUUCGGCGGUUGGGGAUGGACUCGCGGCUUAUCAGCUUGUUGGUGGGGUAGUGGCUUACCAAGGCUUUGACGGGUAGCCGGCCUGAGAGGGUGACCGGCCACAUUGGGACUGAGAUACGGCCCAGACUCCUACGGGAGGCAGCAGUGGGGAAUAUUGCACAAUGGGCGGAAGCCUGAUGCAGCAACGCCGCGUGCGGGAUGACGGCCUUCGGGUUGUAAACCGCUUUCGCCUGUGACGAAGCGUGAGUGACGGUAAUGGGUAAAGAAGCACCGGCUAACUACGUGCCAGCAGCCGCGGUGAUACGUAGGGUGCGAGCGUUGUCCGGAUUUAUUGGGCGUAAAGGGCUCGUAGGUGGUUGAUCGCGUCGGAAGUGUAAUCUUGGGGCUUAACCCUGAGCGUGCUUUCGAUACGGGUUGACUUGAGGAAGGUAGGGGAGAAUGGAAUUCCUGGUGAGCGGUGGAAUGCGCAGAUAUCAGGAGGAACACCAGUGGCGAAGGCGGUUCUCUGGGCCUUUCCUGACGCUGAGGAGCGAAAGCGUGGGGAGCGAACAGGCUUAGAUACCCUGGUAGUCCACGCUGUAAACGGUGGGUACUAGGUGUGGGGUCCAUUCCACGGGUUCCGUGCCGUAGCUAACGCUUUAAGUACCCCGCCUGGGGAGUACGGCCGCAAGGCUAAAACUCAAAGGAAUUGACGGGGCCCCGCACAAGCGGCGGAGCAUGCGGAUUAAUUCGAUGCAACGCGUAGAACCUUACCUGGGUUUGACAUGGAUCGGGAGUGCUCAGAGAUGGGUGUGCCUCUUUUGGGGUCGGUUCACAGGUGGUGCAUGGCUGUCGUCAGCUCGUGUCGUGAGAUGUUGGGUUAAGUCCCGCAACGAGCGCAACCCUUGUUCACUGUUGCCAGCACGUUAUGGUGGGGACUCAGUGGAGACCGCCGGGGUCAACUCGGAGGAAGGUGGGGAUGACGUCAAGUCAUCAUACCCCUUAUGUCCAGGGCUUCACGCAUGCUACAAUGGCUGGUACAGAGAGUGGCGAGCCUGUGAGGGUGAGCGAAUCUCGGAAAGCCGGUCUCAGUUCGGAUUGGGGUCUGCAACUCGACCUCAUGAAGUCGGAGUCGCUAGUAAUCGCAGAUCAGCAACGCUGCGGUGAAUACGUUCCCGGG
rnacentral:rRNA from 1 species